CCCUUAGAUGUCCUGGGCCGCACGCGCGCUACACUGACAUGUUCAACAAGCCUCCUAGUUCGACAGGAUUUGGGAAAUCUUUGAACGCAUGUCGUGAUAGGGAUAGAUCAUUGCAAUUAUUAAUCUUGAACGAGGAAUUCCUAGUAAACGCGAGUCAUCAGCUCGCAUUGAUUACGUCCCUGCCCUUUGUACACACCGCCCGUCGCACCUACCGAUUGAAUGUUUCGGUGAAGAUUCCGGAUAGGACUUUUUUGAUUUAUUUCAAUUUUGUCUUAAAAGCUAUCUAAACCUCAACAUUUAGAGGAAGGUGAAGUCGUAACA
rnacentral:rRNA from 1 species